UAUCCCUUUUCACGCGACGUACGUCCAGCCUGGCUAUUAUCGACGUCUAAAACUCCGUUGCUACCUACGUUUUAGGUAUCUGUUCACUUUCGCAUCUGGGCAGGCAAGUUAUACAAGUUUCCGACUUUUUUGGAAGGCCAUUCACGUCGACAAGCUUCAAAUAAAUGUCAAGUUGCUCUUCCCUGAACGCCUUGCACGCCUUGGAAAACGGAAAGGCAGAACAAGGAAAAUGAUACAAAAAAAACACGUCCCUUCAUCCAGAGGACGAGUACGUUCCUUGAACCACGUUGUAUGAAUAGUCAAUCGGGAACCUCUUACCCGCAGAACGUGCCGCCAUGACGAUUAACAACCUGCGUUCGUUGUCGUAGCUGUCAAGAGUGUCAGCCAGCGUGGAAUACAUACGACUAGAAUUCAAAGGACGAUCCAAUCGCCCAUGAGAGGUAACUCUAUCAUUGAGAACACCGAGUUUGAAUGCUGUAAAAGAAAAGUGUCGAGAACGAAGAUAUAUCUUUUGACGGUUUGUAUUUCAUAAUCAAUCAGAAGAAAAUGGAAUUAAAACACGUCGUUCAAUCACUUUUAAAAUUCGAUUGGAUUAGAAUAGCUGACGCGGGAAGAUGGAGUGGUAAGUCUUUAGUUUUCUAUGUACAUAUGUAUAUAUUAUCAAUACUUAAAAAAGUCUAUACAAGAUUUCUACCCGUGCAAACAUUGCGUAUUGCAUGGGAAGAAUCAUUGGCCACUUGUGUUCAGCACGGAUCUUAACCUUUUCUCUCCGAAUUGUUGUGCGUUGUCCCGACAUGCGUCAAGUCAUCGACGUCAGCAGAAGCACAAAAAAAAGAAGAAAAGGACGGGUACAAGUCAAGGAAACAAUAAUGAACCAAUUCAGUUUGUAACAGACUCUCAAAAAAGGAAAUGGGUGGAAGAGCCGUCACGCGUUAACGUAAUAGAGGUUAGUUUAAAAGUUGAUCGCGUUGAAAGGGUAGUGAAAAGGAUUGUGUCUACACAUCUACUUGAGCCUAACCGGUAAGGGUUUCACUUUAAUUUCUUAUUUCUCAAAAAACCAAAAAAUCAUUUUUGUUCAUUUUUUUUUUUUACAUAUAGUUUCAUUUUACUAAUUUCAAUCACUAACAAGAGAUGACAAAAUUCUUAUCCACUUGUCACGGAAUUCCUUAUCCAACUAUUUGUUAGGUCACCAACUAUAGUAUCACUAUUGGCUUAAGGAAAACGAUCAAAGAGAAAAGAUUUCGCUUAUUUAUGUACAAAAUGCUUUAGAGUCGAAUUCUCCAAAGUAUUUCACGAUGGCCAUGACAUUAGGCAAGGGAAACGCAUUUCCUCGUUAUUUUGAAACAUUAUUUGAAAAAUAUGGAGGACCUGAUUAACUUAUGUGACACAAUGAAUUUUAGUUUGGAUGGAAAUAGAGGGGGAGUUCUACUCCGGGUCACUGUAAACUCCUCCUCAGCCGAUUUUUAAGGUGUUUCAAUUGAAAAAACUAAAAGAACUACCUUAUUUUCUCUCUUCUUCAAUUUCUUCGUUAGUUGGUAAUUUCAUUUCUUAAAUAGACCAACUAAAAAUAGUAUGCGAUGACAGGCGCUCUUUUGGCAUUCGGUUGGUGUUUCAUUUAGUUGGAACUACAGCGCCAAAAGGGCAACAAUUGGCAAGAGGACGGCGACCAGGGAAGCGGCCAUCUUAGCAGAUGCAGAUCGGACGUGAACAGUGCGUCCAUUCAGUGGCUGUGGCGGUCGAUAGUUGUUGACUAGGUUGUCUCCGUCUUCGCUAAUCAACUGCCGGAAUUCAGCCAACUAAAAUUAUUGAAACGAAGGAAAGAAAAAGGUCAACGGAACUAGUGGGAAAUACGCGUAACAGGAAAGCCGAACCGAAUGACUACCAAUUUCUAAUCGCCUUUCAUUUCGGACGCUGCUCAAUCCGACCUAAACCGGCUUGUUGGUGGCCAAAGGACCUGCCCCAAGACCGUUGGCUUAUAUUUAGAAGAUGAAUAAAGAUGAUAAGUUCGAUUCUACAGCUACAAUCGACGCGAAAAAAAAGUUUCGACCAAUUUCGAGAUCUGGCAUCAACAAAAGUAUUACCCAAUAAAAGAUCCAUUCUUCCGUCCACUCUCAAAAGAACUUGGCAGACUGUACGUUGUUGGAUAACCAACAACAAUUCUUGGCCAAAAGAUCUUGUGCCGUAGUCCACAUUUGAUUGAUUCGCUUCUCGACGGAAACUUAACUAUUAAAACAUUUCUAGAGCAAGCCGAUGAGACGUCAACGGUAGAUUCAGAACUUUUUGGAAACUUGGAAGACGGCCACGCAAUAAAGAAGAAAUUGCUAUGAUUCUAGGCCUUGAGGGGGAGUUACCUUUUAUUACCGCUUCUAUUUUUGCUCGGUCUACUUUUCAAAAAAGCUUAAAGCGGAACUGAGACCACCGCCAUUUUCAUUUCACGUUACACCAAAGAAAAAAUGAUUCACAGCUGCGUUUUCUCUUUUCCAGUACCGAGAAAGAAAAACAAAACAAGUACGCAAUGCUCAAAUAUUUGGUUCUCAUUGUUGUAAAUAGCACUAAAAAAGAAGUAUAAACACGGCUGGGUACACUGUAGAUCUUUUUACAAGCUUCCAUUCGUUGGCACCGUUAUCGAUCAGAUUUCCGAAGCCCGACCUUAUACUACAUAUUCGACUUCUUUUCAAUUACCUUCCCCCAUUUUCCCUUUUUUCUUCUUUUCUUUGGGGGUUUUUCCCUCUUUUAUAACGCUGGAAAGGAACUCCCUUUACUGUCACAAGCGGAAAGCAGUCACGCCCGCGCUCGGCUAAUAGCUAUACUCGAUCUAAAAGAACAUUUAGCGAAACUAGGCAAAAUUCUUAUAGUGCGUUUUACACGUACGUGGAACGUACGCGGAAACAAAAAGCUGAGCUGGCCCGUUUUUUUUUUGUUUUAGGUAUUUCCCGAGAAAAUAAAAAAAAGGAUUGCGGGAGGCAUUCGAUUGUAUCGGAAAUGUGCCCAACGCUGCCAUAUCGACUUUGACGAAAAUACCCAAAGAUAAAAUAAUCAAAACGCAAAAGGGGGAAAGAAAAAUGUAGGAAUGCCAAUCAACUGUGAGCAUUUUCUUUUCAUGCCAUUGCUGGAGGAAAGAAAAGAGGGAAAACGUGAAUUGAAAAGGAAAUAAGAAAACUCUUCGGGCGGUGACGGAAAAUAUUCAAAUUUAUUAUGAAUGUUAAUCAAACCCAUCGCGACAUUUUCUACCCGAAACUCCCUGGUUUUUUCCUAACCGCACACCGACAUACGAGAUCAGAUUAUUCGCGUAAAUUGAAACAUACACGGGAAAAAAAGUCCGACUGCGAUAGAGUAGACGUGCUAGAUACGUUGUAGGCAAUAAUAACUCUAAAACAAAAUAGACAGCGACCUUGCUCAAUGUUCGUCCGGGCCUGGAACGGGAUACGUGCGUGAUUGUCGUUUUUUUUCUUCCCUUUCAUUCGUUCCACGUCCUGAUAAUUCCUUAAAGGCUUCCGUCCUCUGCGCCCGCUACAUAACCCCGCAAGGUUAUUGACAACCGGCAAAUUGCCAAGCGGGGGGGUAUACAAUAAAACGCGUAAUCAAAUGAUCGAUGUUUAUCUAGUAGCCUAAAGAGCUCUAAAUGAGACAGGUACAGAAGUACUGCCUAAACGCAUGUCGGGGAAGGAAUUAAGAAAGAUUGAGCACGUUCUCACGCCGUUUUUAGUGUCCCCGUUAUGCCUCUAUGCUUUAAUUACACGAUCGUAAUCAAGGCCUGCACAAUAACCACCGGCGGCCAUUAAACCCCACAGUCAUUUUCAGAAUUCGGUCAUGGCUAGGUCGGAAAGACUAAAAGACUAUGAUCGAGCUAAUUGGCAAGCUGUCGUAUCUCUUAGAAUUCGAGACGUUCUACAUGGAGGUCAACUUGUGCGUGUCCGUGUACCGUAAUAAACUGUAGAAAAGUUAGAAACUGAGCCCGCUGAUUCGGAAAUACUUCCAAACCGGAACGCAAAAAGUAGGUAAGUUACGGUUCGAAAUCUUGGACGCGUUGUUAUUUUAGUCACGUUGACGAACGAGGGGAAAUGAAAGAGAGAGUUGUGAUAAAAGCCUUUACAGGCGCAUUAAAAGGGGAAUUCCGACAUCUUAUCCGACUAGAGAAUAGUUGAAUCAAUCGACUUACCCGUCACCAUCAAACUCAAGAUGGAGGCGACGACGAAGACGUCUUUAAGUAACGUUGAAUGACGGGAAGACAUCCUGAAAAGUGAGAGAAAUAAAAAAUAUUAAUGUAGACACGAUAAAAGGACACAUCCGCGAUGAAACAGAUAGUUCUUUUCUAUCCAAAUACACAGUAGCUAGGUUUUGACGUUUCGGGGAAGGAAAAAAAAAAAAAAAACUGUUUUUCACAAGAAGGCGCGAGUAGAUCAUAACGAUUGCUAGUCACGACUUGUGCUGUAGACUAUCGAUCGUGAAUGGAAACCAUGUCUCCGGGCAACUCGCAACUAGCGACAGAGCUCCUGGCCUCAACCGACCGACCACAGCAAGAAAUAAAAAAAAAAACUGAUCACAAAAGGCGAAACUUUAAGAAGAUUCAAGAUCUGAAGGGCCAUCACUCCUUGAUGAAACGGCAGGAAAUCGAGAUUGUCACCAACCAAAGUUCUUUUUAAAAACAUAAAAUCUCGAAACGCGGUUGAAGUGAAUUCUUACUUGAAAUUGUAGAACAAAUGAAUGUGGCAACCGCUUUUUAAAAAAAUGUAUAUCUUGCUUGUGUCAACUUAAGAAUCAAAUUACAACUAUCCGUUUACGGACAAGAACGUAAAGUUACUGACAGUCGCCGACGAUGGUAAUAAUUUUAUAAGAAAGCGAAAGUAGAAUACACGUGACGAGGUUCGUGGCCACUUCCUUGAACAGUUCGGCGAUAACGGAACGACGACCUUGCCCCGAAUUUGAAUAACCGAACAUGGACGCUUUUUACCUACGAUAGAAAUUUCUGCAAACUGUUAACGCCGUAGUUGCCAUUCUAAACGAAUUCCCAUUUUUAAAAUGGCCAAGCAAUAAAUAACGCAAAAGAGGAAACGCCGAUUGACCUUUCUCUAACCUUGAUUCGUAUUUGUCGUUACUGGACAACGAGACAAUUCCGGUGUUGGGUGAGAAAUAAAUCCAAUCACUCAAUUUCUUUCAAAAAUAACGUAAGUCAUUAAGAAGGUGAUGGUCCAAUGAGACUCGCGUUGUACACACAAUUGAAAGGCUGUCGAUGAAGGGCAAUAAAAGAAAACAAAUCAACCAUAAAUAGCGUAAGGCCUUUCACUUCCUAGCUCUCAGAAGAGUAAUCACAAUUGACUGGGGGGGGGGACAAAAAAAAAAAGUAAAUACGAAGAAGAAAGAAAAUAGCCCAAUAUUAUGUUUUACUUUGCGUCGGCUAUGCAAUGCCUUUCGCAACUUGCUUUCGGUGACAUUUGACAAACGUCUGAAACAGUAGACGACAUCAGUGUAGUGCCAUAUCAAGACUUGACAUUCGAAUUUUCUUUUGGAGCUAGUGCAACUGAACUCGGUCGACCCAUACAUGGAGCCGACGAUAAUAGGACACACGUGAAGGCAAAUAAAUUUGGAAUGUGUUGUGUCAAACACUACUUACUGGUUGUCUGCGAAUAUGUUCGGCUACCGAAGAAAUACAGGCACAAAGUGGGAAAACCCAAACCGGGAAUUGUACGGGGAAAAAAAAACCCAAAGAGAACUAGCGCAAUUUUGUCUCUUGAAAGACAAAUAUUGGCGGACACACACACACAAUAGGUGAAAAGAGCCGAAGGGAAUUUUUCAGGU
rnacentral:lncRNA from 1 species